AAGGCGCGCGAUACAGGGUGACAGCCCCGUACACAAAAAUGCACAUGCUGUGAGCUCGAUGAGUAGGGCGGGACACGUGGUAUCCUGUCUGAAUAUGGGGGGACCAUCCUCCAAGGCUAAAUACUCCUGACUGACCGAUAGUGAACCAGUACCGUGAGGGAAAGGCGAAAAGAACCCCGGCGAGGGGAGUGAAAAAGAACCUGAAACCGUGUACGUACAAGCAGUGGGAGCACGCUUAGGCGUGUGACUGCGUACCUUUUGUAUAAUGGGUCAGCGACUUAUAUUCUGUAGCAAGGUUAACCGAAUAGGGGAGCCGAAGGGAAACCGAGUCUUAACUGGGCGUUAAGUUGCAGGGUAUAGACCCGAAACCCGGUGAUCUAGCCAUGGGCAGGUUGAAGGUUGGGUAACACUAACUGGAGGACCGAACCGACUAAUGUUGAAAAAUUAGCGGAUGACUUGUGGCUGGGGGUGAAAGGCCAAUCAAACCGGGAGAUAGCUGGUUCUCCCCGAAAGCUAUUUAGGUAGCGCCUCGUGAAUUCAUCUCCGGGGGUAGAGCACUGUUUCGGCAAGGGGGUCAUCCCGACUUACCAACCCGAUGCAAACUGCGAAUACCGGAGAAUGUUAUCACGGGAGACACACGGCGGGUGCUAACGUCCGUCGUGAAGAGGGAAACAACCCAGACCGCCAGCUAAGGUCCCAAAGUCAUGGUUAAGUGGGAAACGAUGUGGGAAGGCCCAGACAGCCAGGAUGUUGGCUUAGAAGCAGCCAUCAUUUAAAGAAAGCGUAAUAGCUCACUGGUCGAGUCGGCCUGCGCGGAAGAUGUAACGGGGCUAAACCAUGCACCGAAGCUGCGGCAGCGACGCUUAUGCGUUGUUGGGUAGGGGAGCGUUCUGUAAGCCUGUGAAGGUGUGCUGUGAGGCAUGCUGGAGGUAUCAGAAGUGCGAAUGCUGACAUAAGUAACGAUAAAGCGGGUGAAAAGCCCGCUCGCCGGAAGACCAAGGGUUCCUGUCCAACGUUAAUCGGGGCAGGGUGAGUCGACCCCUAAGGCGAGGCCGAAAGGCGUAGUCGAUGGGAAACAGGUUAAUAUUCCUGUACUUGGUGUUACUGCGAAGGGGGGACGGAGAAGGCUAUGUUGGCCGGGCGACGGUUGUCCCGGUUUAAGCGUGUAGGCUGGUUUUCCAGGCAAAUCCGGAAAAUCAAGGCUGAGGCGUGAUGACGAGGCACUACGGUGCUGAAGCAACAAAUGCCCUGCUUCCAGGAAAAGCCUCUAAGCAUCAGGUAACAUCAAAUCGUACCCCAAACCGACACAGGUGGUCAGGUAGAGAAUACCAAGGCGCUUGAGAGAACUCGGGUGAAGGAACUAGGCAAAAUGGUGCCGUAACUUCGGGAGAAGGCACGCUGAUAUGUAGGUGAAGUCCCUCGCGGAUGGAGCUGAAAUCAGUCGAAGAUACCAGCUGGCUGCAACUGUUUAUUAAAAACACAGCACUGUGCAAACACGAAAGUGGACGUAUACGGUGUGACGCCUGCCCGGUGCCGGAAGGUUAAUUGAUGGGGUCAGCGCAAGCGAAGCUCUUGAUCGAAGCCCCGGUAAACGGCGGCCGUAACUAUAACGGUCCUAAGGUAGCGAAAUUCCUUGUCGGGUAAGUUCCGACCUGCACGAAUGGCGUAAUGAUGGCCAGGCUGUCUCCACCCGAGACUCAGUGAAAUUGAACUCGCUGUGAAGAUGCAGUGUACCCGCGGCAAGACGGAAAGACCCCGUGAACCUUUACUAUAGCUUGACACUGAACAUUGAGCCUUGAUGUGUAGGAUAGGUGGGAGGCUUAGAAGUGUGGACGCCAGUCUGCAUGGAGCCGACCUUGAAAUACCACCCUUUAAUGUUUGAUGUUCUAACGUUGACCCGUAAUCCGGGUUGCGGACAGUGUCUGGUGGGUAGUUUGACUGGGGCGGUCUCCUCCUAAAGAGUAACGGAGGAGCACGAAGGUUGGCUAAUCCUGGUCGGACAUCAGGAGGUUAGUGCAAUGGCAUAAGCCAGCUUGACUGCGAGCGUGACGGCGCGAGCAGGUGCGAAAGCAGGUCAUAGUGAUCCGGUGGUUCUGAAUGGAAGGGCCAUCGCUCAACGGAUAAAAGGUACUCCGGGGAUAACAGGCUGAUACCGCCCAAGAGUUCAUAUCGACGGCGGUGUUUGGCACCUCGAUGUCGGCUCAUCACAUCCUGGGGCUGAAGUAGGUCCCAAGGGUAUGGCUGUUCGCCAUUUAAAGUGGUACGCGAGCUGGGUUUAGAACGUCGUGAGACAGUUCGGUCCCUAUCUGCCGUGGGCGCUGGAGAACUGAGGGGGGCUGCUCCUAGUACGAGAGGACCGGAGUGGACGCAUCACUGGUGUU
rnacentral:rRNA from 1 species